CGAUUAAGCCAUGCGAGUCGCGAGCAUUAGAUUCUCGGCGUACCGCUCAGUAACACGUGGGUAGCCUGCCCUAUGCUGGAUAAUAACCUCGGGAAACUGAGAAUAAUGAUCCAUAGUUCACUACGCCUGGAACGGUGAGUGGAUGAAAGCUCCGGCGGCAUAGGAUGGGCCUGCGGCGUAUCAGGUUGUAGGGGGUGUAACGUACCCUCUAGCCCUCUACGCGUACGGGUGUUGGGAGACAUAACCCGGAGAUGGAUUCUGAGACACGAAUCCAGACCCUACGGGGUGCAACAGGCGCGAAAACUUGGCAAUGCGAGAAAUCGUGACCACGGAACUCCAAGUGCAUGGGGUAAGACCCAUGCUUUUCUUGACUCUAAAUAGGUCUUGGAAUAAGGCGUGGGUAAGGACG
rnacentral:rRNA from 1 species